CAUGUACUCCCUCCGUCCGCAAAUAUUUGUCAUUGAAAUGGAUGUAUCUAAAUGUAUUUUAGUUGUAGAUACAUCUAUUUUCAUUUAUUUUGAUGACAAGUAUUUCCGGACGGAGGGAGUACUUA
rfam:Triticum aestivum genome assembly, contig: Triticum_aestivum_CS42_TGACv1_scaffold_503395_6BL